rnacentral:rRNA from 1 species
UACAGAGGUCUCAAGCGUUGUUCGGAUUCAUUGGGCGUAAAGGGUGCGUAGGUGGUGAGGUAAGUCGGAUGUGAAAGCUCGGAGCUCAACUCCGAAAUGGCAUUGGAAACUACCUCGCUCGAGGGUUGGAGGGGGGACUGGAAUGCUUGGUGUAGCAGUGAAAUGCGUAGAUAUCAAGCGGAACACCAGUGGCGAAGGCGGGUCUCUGGACAGUUCCUGACACUGAGGCACGAAGGCCAGGGGAGCAAACGGG